rnacentral:rRNA from 1 species
GCAAAACGCGAAGAACCUUACCAGGUCUUGACAUCCCGCUGACCGCUCUAGAGAUAGAGUUUUCCCUUCGGGGACAGCGGUGACAGGUGGUGCAUGGUUGUCGUCAGCUCGUGUCGUGAGAUGUUGGGUUAAGUCCCGCAACGAGCGCAACCCUUGAUCUUAGUUGCCAGCAUUCAGUUGGGCACUCUAAGGUGACUGCCGGUGAUAAACCGGAGGAAGGUGGGGAUGACGUCAAAUCAUCAUGCCCCUUAUGACCUGGGCUACACACGUGCUACAAUGGACGGUACAGAGGGUCGCAACCCCGCGAGGGUGAGCAAAUACCCAUAAAACCGUUACUCAGUUCGGAUUGUAGGCUGCAACUCGCCUACAUGAAGCCGGAAUCGCUAGUAAUCGUGGAUCAGCAUGCCACGGUGAAUACGUUCCCGGGUC